GAACUUUAUUGCUAUGACUGAUACUUCUCUUCCUAUCCAAAGGUUAUUGGGAAAAGUUGCUUUAGUCACUGGAGGGGCAACUGGCAUAGGAGAGAGCAUAGUACGUCUAUUUCAUAAGCAUGGUGCAAAAGUAUGCAUUGCUGAUAUUCAAGAUGAAGUUGGACAGCAUGUUUGUGAGACCCUUGGUAAUGACCAGAAUGUGUGCUUUAUCCACUGUGAUGUGACUGUAGAAGCUGAUAUUAGUAAUGCAGUUGAUUUUACGGUUCAAAAGUUUGGUACACUUGACAUAAUGGUUAAUAAUGCCGGGUUGUCUGGGCCCCCUAUUGGAGAUAUCCGUGAAUAUGAACUUUCUGUGUUUGAAAAUGUGCUUGACGUGAACUUGAAAGGUACUUUCCUUGGAAUGAAGCAUGCUGCUCGCAUAAUGAUACCACUAAAGAAGGGAGCAAUAGUAUCUCUGUGCAGUGUGGCAAGUGCCAUUGGUGGAGUCGGACCUCAUGGUUAUACAGCUUCCAAGUAUGCUGUUUUGGGACUUACACAGAACGUUGCAGCUGAGUUGGGAAAACACGGUGUACGUGUGAAUUGUGUUUCUCCUUAUGCAGUUCCAACUGGAUUAGCUCUGGCUCACUUGCCUGAGGAUGAGAAGACUGAUGAUGCAAUGGAAGGUUUUCGUGAUUUUGCUGCCAGGAAUGCUAACUUGCAGGGGGUGGAAUUGACGGUUGAUGAUGUUGCUAAUGCCGUGCUUUUCUUAGCCAGUGAUGAAUCAAGGUAUAUAAGUGGGCAUAAUCUGAUGGUCGAUGGUGGUUUCUCGUGUGUUAAUCACUCCCUUCGGGUCUUCAGAUAGCUGUAUGUUGAUCGAUCUUAUUGGGAACUUUCAAGAGAUUGUCAUCCUGUUUGUGAUUUUUCCAUUCAAACAAACCUGCUUAUGUUUCCAAAGCACUAUGCUAAAACAAAAAAACUAGACUUAUAAAAUCGCCCGGGCCUGACCCCCUUUGUGAGGAGUUGCUUUGCAAUUUGUGUUGAACUCCA
rnacentral:misc_RNA from 1 species